ensembl:lncRNA
CGGCCGGCGGCCGCAGGGUGUUCCCCACCUCUGCGCCGGCCUCUGAGCGCGGAGGGCGACCGAUAGGGCCCCCUGAAGCCAGCGAAACUACCACAGCGCCGUACUACCAGUGGGUCUGAGCUGCCAACACACAUUGCUCUGAGCGUGUACCUGGGCCUGCUGCAGCCCCAUUGGGAGUGAUGGGCAGAGAGCUCGGCCGGCACGACUGCCUUUGUCAAGAUGGCCGUGUCAGGGGUGGCUCCUAGGCAUGGCACUCGCUGCUGUGAAGGAGAAUUGGAUCCAGCUGCCCAGCUGUCUUCAGGAGAGCUGCCGAAGCAGAUUCAGUAGCUGAGAACUUUGCUCUGCCCGCCAAGGAAGGUGGUGCGGCCGCCAGCUGCGGUUGCUCAGAGCCUCUCGGACAUCAGAGCGGUGCCGGCGUGGCCGCUGCCAGACAGGGGUGUUACAGUUAUCCUCUGGAGGAGCUGCUCACCAUUGCCACGAACAAAGGAGCUUUGUUCAGAUCCGUUCGACGUAACCUAUGAGAUGUGCGGAAUACCGCAGUAGAGGCAGUGAGAAGGAAGUGUGUCUGGAAGGGAGAUAACUGCAGAAGAGCUCUACAGCAGGGACAAUAACAUCACUGGAUUUGGGAAACUCUGCAGGGAUAAUGAAAACCUUCUUUAAACACAGUGGUCACAGGGUAUGGGUUACCACAUUCCUCACCCUCUGCAGCAGGAGAGGUUUGGUUCUGCUUCAUGGCAAAGGGGAAGCCUGUCUGUCUUUGGAGCUCUUGGACUCAACCAGCCAGCAUGGGAAGAUCCACAGCUUGCUCCCACCAAUGGGUACUGCUCCCCUUGACCUAAAACUGGCACUUGGUUACAAGGGGACCUGAAUGGAUGGAGGAGCGUGGGUGGAGGUUAACAUUUUCCCCUUGCAUGCCCCAUCAUGAAAAAAGAUCCGCUAUCUAGAAAGCAGACAGCUUUGCACUGAGGACUGUAAUAAAAUUGAGACAAU